GCAGGUGUCGUAUAGUGGUAAUACCUUAGCCUUCCAAGCUAAUGCUGUCGGUUCGAUUCCGAUCACCUGCUCCA
rnacentral:tRNA from 1 species